AGAGUUUGAUCAUGGCUCAGAUUGAACGCUGGCGGCAGGCUUAACACAUGCAAGUCGAGCGGAGAUGAGGUGCUUGCACCUUAUCUUAGCGGCGGACGGGUGAGUAAUGCUUAGGAAUCUGCCUAUUAGUGGGGGACAACAUUCCGAAAGGAAUGCUAAUACCGCAUACGUCCUACGGGAGAAAGCAGGGGAUCUUCGGACCUUGCGCUAAUAGAUGAGCCUAAGUCGGAUUAGCUAGUUGGUGGGGUAAAGGCCUACCAAGGCGACGAUCUGUAGCGGGUCUGAGAGGAUGAUCCGCCACACUGGGACUGAGACACGGCCCAGACUCCUACGGGAGGCAGCAGUGGGGAAUAUUGGACAAUGGGGGGAACCCUGAUCCAGCCAUGCCGCGUGUGUGAAGAAGGCCUUAUGGUUGUAAAGCACUUUAAGCGAGGAGGAGGCUACUGAGACUAAUACUCUUGGAUAGUGGACGUUACUCGCAGAAUAAGCACCGGCUAACUCUGUGCCAGCAGCCGCGGUAAUACAGAGGGUGCGAGCGUUAAUCGGAUUUACUGGGCGUAAAGCGUGCGUAGGCGGCUUUUUAAGUCGGAUGUGAAAUCCCCGAGCUUAACUUGGGAAUUGCAUUCGAUACUGGGAAGCUAGAGUAUGGGAGAGGAUGGUAGAAUUCCAGGUGUAGCGGUGAAAUGCGUAGAGAUCUGGAGGAAUACCGAUGGCGAAGGCAGCCAUCUGGCCUAAUACUGACGCUGAGGUACGAAAGCAUGGGGAGCAAACAGGAUUAGAUACCCUGGUAGUCCAUGCCGUAAACGAUGUCUACUAGCCGUUGGGGCCUUUGAGGCUUUAGUGGCGCAGCUAACGCGAUAAUAGACCGCCUGGGGA
rnacentral:rRNA from 1 species